GCCUGAUGUGUCUUGCUGCGUAGCUGCUUCUGUUGCCACUCCUGGGCUCUGGGCUCCUGACUGACCCCUGCCCUUCCUGCUCCCGGUUGCCCACUGUGCUCUCGUGGAGGUUAGAGUCUGCAGCCAUUCCCCAUGCCCUCCGUCCUUCAGAGCUCCGAGUCCGUAACUCCAGUCCUACUUCAAAAUUCCACGUUGGCUCCUAAUCUGUCUUCCAGCGAUUCAACAUUGUCCUGGACUUCUUUUAUUGGACAAGAACAAAGUUUUGCCAAACUUCAAGCAGUCAUCUUAGCACUGGACCCCC